rnacentral:rRNA from 1 species
GAUGAACGCUGGCGGCGUGCUUAACACAUGCAAGUCGAACGAUGAAGCUCAGCUUGCUGGGUGGAUUAGUGGCGAACGGGUGAGUAACACGUGAGUAACCUGCCCUUAACUCUGGGAUAAGCCUGGGACACUAGGUCUAAUACCGGAUAGGAGCGCCUACCGCAUGGAGGGUGUUGGAAAGAUGUAUCGGUUUUGGAUGGACUCGCGGCCUAUCAGCUUGUUGGUGAGGUAAUGACUCACCAAGGCGACGACGGGUAGCCGGCCUGAGAGGGUGACCGGCCACACUGGGACUGAGACACGGCCCAGACUCCUACGGGAGGCAGCAGUGGGGAAUAUUGCACAAUGGGCGCAAGCCUGAUGCAGCGACGCCGCGUGAGGGAUGACGGCCUUCGGGUUGUAAACCUCUUUCAGUAGGGAAGAAGCGAAAGUGACGGUACCUGCAGAAGAAGCACCGGCUAACUACGUG